CCGACUCUCAGGUAGCCACUUCACCGGGCGCCCCAGCAUGAGAGGCACCGGCUUGGUUUCCUCGCUGACAGUAAUCCUGCUCCUCCUUGGAUACCUUGCAGUUAUAGCACAGUGUCGUUUGGAGGCUGGAAGAAGGAGGAGCUACCAGGAGGAUCAUACCGGAGCUACUAGGGUCAACGCGACAGCAUUAGAUGAGAGCAAGCUCAACCUACGUUUCUGCACGGGCCAUGUAUGUCGUAAACCUCCGAGACCCUGUUACUGCUGUGAGCUUCUGCCGCCGGACCAGCCGUGCUUCGCUUCCAAAGAGGAGUGCUGGCAAAAAUGUCCCGCCUGUGACCCCAAGUGUCCCGGCCCACCUGCCACGGAGUUGCAUGCAUGAGCAAAUAUAUGCUUUUCAUGUAAAUGAGUCAUAAGCAUGGUUGUUUUGUGAGAGAAAGAAUAUACUGACGCGCCA